rnacentral:lncRNA from 12 species
GGGGUUUGCUUCCACCCCUGGCGUGUGAAAAGGAAUACGGGCUUGGAAAAGCGCCGUGGAAAUGGUUUUCAAUAACAGCCUCUGGAGACGGGGAGCGGGGAGGGGACGGGCCCCGCAGAGCUAUGGCAGGAAUGUCCCCGCAGGAACUCGCUGUUCCUUCCUGCAGCACCGACGUCAGCGCCGGGCAGCCGGGCUCGCACAGCCCCCGGGCUGCGGGGAUGCUGAGUGCCAGCCCCUCAGGCACCGGGGCAGCGGGGGAUGCACGGAUCCAGGCAGCGGCUGCUCCCUGGCGUGGGGGGCGAGAGGCGAGAGGCCAGGGUUGUCGCACUGCUCUCCGAGAUGCGGCCAAAGGUCUUGCGAAACCCCCGUGGGUCACCCGGGGGGGGGGUUCCCAGCACGGCCAACACCUCCUGGCUGUCGGAAUUUCUUUAGGCCCUGGUGGACAAAUGGCAUUCUGCUCCUCCUGAGAUCUGGCUGACCUGGAGUGAGAAACGGGUCCAAAAUUGGUGAAAGCAACCAGCGAGUUUCCAGCUCUGCAUUUAGCAUCCCUCUUCAUCCCUCGCAGCCUCAUUAAAAGUUUUGGAAUCUCAAACUUGCCCAGCAGCCCAUUUCAAACAAAUGCAAAGCCCUGCAGCGUCCUCAACAAACCCCAGCUGUAAACCAAGCCCAGGCCUUGGUGAUUCCUGAUCCAUGAGCAAACCACUGGCAAGGAGCACUGGAGAGCAGAGCUCUCCCUCUGGACAGGACCUUCAUGCCCACCAGCUCUCCCUGCUUUUUCUCCUGCCUCUCUUCCAGUUGUGCCCAGCUGUUUCUCCCUCUCUCUCUGCCUCCAAACCCACGAGUUUCAUAUAAAAAAAAAAAAAUCCCCGCACCCCCCACCCAGGAAGAUCAUUUUGCACCAGAAAUAGAGCGCGCUAUACUUGGGAUGCAGCCCGGGCGCAUUAAAAAUAGCGGCUGGCGGUGCCAGGCGGGGCUGUGCCAGCUGCCAGGACAGACAGACACGGUGCCAGGGGCAGGUCCUCCCCUCUCCAGGCCAUAAAUGACCAUGGUGCUGCCCAGCAAGCCGACUGCCAGGCGGGGACAGCAGGGUGGGCUGAGCGCUGCCGGCUCCCCGCUGCCCUCCCCGGGACCCCUCUCUCUCCACGCUCCACAUUCCUGCGGCUCAUGGAAGGCAUUAACACCAGAUAAAAGUACAGAGGAGCCCAAAUGGAGCAUCCUGACGUCAGCCAUCCCCGAAAGCCUGGAAGGGAAGCUGUAAACAGAGGAACAAAAGGAGUUAUAAACACCCAUCCCCACUGGCGCCUGCAGACACGCGUUUAAAGCGCCGAGAGAAUCGAGGAAAGGUGCUGAAAUUUGGGGGGUGCUCAGCGCUGGGAUGUCCCUGAGGGAGGAAAACCUAGCAGAGUCGGAAGAGGGAAAGAAGAGACUGAAAUGAUUUUUUUUUUUUUUCCCCUCCUUGCGAACAGCUUUGUUCCCUGCAGUUCCUCCCCGUCAGUAGGAAAGGGUGGGAGCUAUUGUUCGAUCCCGCUGUUCAGCUGGCUCCUCCAGGGCAGCCACAAAUCCUCCGGCUCUAAGUGACGCAACACAGGCUCCACCAAGCUCCAGCAGCCAAAAAAAGCUUCAAUUUUGCCCAGUCCGACUGUCCCACUCACCCUGUGCUGCAGACGCGUUUGUGCACCUUGGAAAGCCCGGAGCACUCGGGCUUCUCGUUCUCAGCCAUUUCCUCGUUCUCAGCCAUCAGUGUGGACUAAAGGUGCUUCCAGGGGCCAUCUAAAGGUGUGUCCAGGGGCCAUCUAAAGGUGUGUCCAGGGGCCAUCUAAAGGUGUGUCCAGGGGCCAUCUAAAGGUGUGUCC